UGCCCAACACCCCUGGAAAGUCAUGGGAGAAUGGGGAGCAUAACCCAGGACAAUCUGGUGGCUCAGUGUUUUCUUCUAGAAUUAAAACACAUUUCCCUGCCAUGAUGGAAACUCCAGCACAAAAGUCUGUGCUAGGGCUUGAGAACCAGACAAUGAAAUGUGACCACAGGAAGUGAAGAGAAUUAAAUAAACUAGAAGAAUUUCCCUGCCCAAACUGAGGAGAAGGCAAAUGUUAAAAGAGAAGGAACCAGCAAAAAUGGUGAACACUGAAUUUUAUUUUAUUUUUUAAUUAUUUGAAUUCUUUCAUCCCAGGGACACAAUUGGUAAAAAAUACAUAAUGGGACUUCUCUGCAUAACCUCCUUCUGACCACAUUAUAAAUCAUAGUCAUCCAUGUGGGUACCUCUCUAGCAUGUUACUAUACUAAUUGCUCAUCCUGUUUUAAAAAUUAGUCUCAAUUUUUCACUAUUGUCACUAUUGGAGUGAUCAACAGGACAUGAUAUUCACAUUUUCCAACUGCAACUAUUCAUCAGCUACAGUAUGUAUAUAAAGACCUGGAAAUAAACAAUGAGUUAAGGUUUCAUUUUCUCAGAGCAUUCUAGCUCCUGUGGUUUCACAGAAGGAAAAUACCAAUGGUUUGUGCUGUCUACAUUUUAAAUGUGCCUUCUAAAUUGGAAGAAAUGGUUAAAGUUGAGAUUUGCCAAUAUUUUUGGCAGGACUAACUCUUUCCUCCCAUAUUUACUUCCUCCAUGUCUAGCAACCUUUAAAUAUUCCUAAACUAUUUCUGUCUCUUAAAUGAAGGAGUUUAUGAAUAGGAAGUGCACCGGCUGAUGACUUUGAGGUCUUUUCUGUACCAUUUUGGAAUUGUGGAUGAUCUUCUUAUAUUACAAAAAUUAAUGUAUGAUAAAAAGGCUGUAUGUGUGUGGAUCCAACAUGAGUUAGCAGGGUUGUGUACUGUCAUGGGUGGUCACUUCCACGAAAAAGGAGGAGGAAACGUAGUAAAAACUAGAAAACAGCAAGAAAAACAGAAAGAAAAACUCUGAAACCUCCAAGAAGGAAAAGGUUGUAAACAGAAAAAGAUCAAAGAAACAUUCUCCAACCAAAUACUUAAAUUCAGAGACAUGAAGGAAAGACACAACAAUCUACAUAGGAGCCUCAACAAACUCCAGGCUCAAGGUUCCACACAAA